GACGAACGCUGGCGGCGUGCUUAACACAUGCAAGUCGAACGGAAAGGCCCUGCUUGCAGGGUACUCGAGUGGCGAACGGGUGAGUAACACGUGGGUGAUCUGCCCUGCACUUCGGGAUAAGCCUGGGAAACUGGGUCUAAUACCGGAUAGGAGCCAUUUUUAGUGUGAUGGUUGGAAAGUUUUUUUCGGUGUAGGAUGAGCUCGCGGCCUAUCAGCUUGUUGGUGGGGUAAUGGCCUACCAAGGCGGCGACGGGUAGCCGGCCUGAGAGGGUGGACGGCCACAUUGGGACUGAGAUACGGCCCAGACUCCUACGGGAGGCAGCAGUGGGGAAUAUUGCACAAUGGGCGCAAGCCGGAUGCAGCGACGCCGCGUGGGGGAUGACGGCCUUCGGGUUGUAAACUCCUUUCGCUAGGGACGAAGCUUUUUGUGACGGUACCUAGAUAAGAAGCACCGGCUAACUACGUG
rnacentral:rRNA from 1 species